UACGUAGGGGCCGAGCGUUGUCCGGAGUUAUUGGGCGUAAAGCGCGCGCAGGCGGCUUCGCGCGCCCGACGUGAAAGCCCCCGGCUUAACCGGGGAGGGUCGUUGGGGACGGCGGGGCUUGAGGGCGGGAGAGGGUGGUGGAAUUCCCGGUGUAGUGGUGAAAUGCGUAGAGAUCGGGAGGAACACCCGUGGCGAAGGCGGCCACCUGGGCCGACCCUGACGCUGAGGCGCGAAGGCGUGGGGAGCGAACGGG
rnacentral:rRNA from 1 species